CAAUGCAAAGCACCUCAUGAAUGCUAAUCUAAAUAUUAAUGAGCCUUGCAUUCACUUGUGCGUUGUUACACUGCAUAAUGGCGACAGGUGAGAAAAGAGCAAAAAAAAACGUAAUUUCUCAGACACUGACAUACACAUACUUGUAGGGGAGGUGGAGGCCCGGAAAACAACAUUAUUUGGUGGCCACAGCAGUGGGAUCACUAAUAAAAAGAAGCAGUGCGAGUGGCAACGUGUUGCUGCUUCUGUCAACUGCAUCAGUGGGACAGAACAGACAGUUGCAGAACUAAAGGAAAAGUGGUCCGAUCUGAAGUUAUAUAAUGGUAGAGUACUUGAUGCUAUCCUGUACUCCAUCCUGCCCUGCCAUCUCCACCUGCACUCCCGCCUCUUCCUUUGUUUUGUUGUUCUGGACCACCAUGCCAACAUUUGAAAUUCAUCUGCACCUUCUACCUCUCCUUCCACCCUGUUGUCCACUUCCUCUAUAUCCAUGUCUUCUUACAGUGUCUCCUCAUGCUCUUUCCACUACACCAAUACCCUCUUCUCUAAUCAUCUCUUCUCCAUUUCCUUCUCCUCUCCUCUUCUCUUUUCUCACAUCUUCCUCUCUGCUCAUCUCUUUCUAGCUGUUUCACUCUUCAUCUUCUCUUUCAUUAUGCCCCUUUCUCUACCCACUCUACCACCUUGUAGACUUACACCUUUCUUUAACC
ensembl:lncRNA